GGGGGGAGAAUGUGGUAAAGCACAUGCCCAGCAUGCAUGAGGUCCUGGGUUCAAUUCCCAGUCCCUCCU
rnacentral:tRNA from 1 species